CUUUUUUAGCCUACAAGGAAACAUCGCGCAGUACGAAGGCUAAUGGAAAAAUAAAAAAAGGAUUAGUACAAAAAGAAAGCAAAAGUGAGGAAACACAAUUAAGUAACAAAGGACUACAGAAGAUUAUCCAGAUUGAAGAUGGUUCAACAGAUACAGAUGAAAUUGAGGGUGUUGUUCCUUUUGAUGAUAAUAGAGAUCAGACAGAAGAUGAAAGUGCUAAUCUUACUCCGUAUGAACUGUUUCGACAGGAAAAUAUCAAAGACAACGAAAAAUUCUUGCAAAAUCUGAAUUUUGUUAAUACAUUGAAGAAAAAACAGAAGCCACGAAAAACCUAUUUGCCUAGGAAUAAGAUGACAACUCAAAGCAACAUAACUCUUGCUGUGCUCCAACCAGGUCUUCACGAAGAUAAUGAUGGAAAUCUAGAAAAAAGUAAUUCUGACAUUGAUUUUCCAUGGGUCAGUCCUGCCACUAGUAUUACAGAUGUUAUAGAUAAAAAUGUAUGGAUUGCUGUUGCUUUUGAGAAUACCUGGUACCCAGGUCUUGUAGAUAGUAUUGAAGCAGAUGGAUUACUUGUAAACUUCAUGCAUCCUUGUCUUUUAGAAAGAAAUAAGUUUCAAUGGCCAAGAAAGUUAGAUACAAUGAAAGUGGAAAAAAAGUUUGUGUUGUUUGUAUGUUUACCCCCUAAACGUUUUCAACGUGGCGAAAAGUUUUGUUUUGAAGGGUACGAACUUAUUUUGAAAUUAUAUUUAGAUUUCAAAAAAACAUAUUUUUGAAUAAAUGUAUUGAUCAGAUGAAGUUACUGGCUUACUGUUAAAAUAUAUGUGUAUGCACUUUAAGAACCAAAGUAUUCUAUAUAUGUCAAAACAAGUUUAGAUACAACAAUGCAUUGUGUAGUAAAAUUGCUAACCCUAGUUAUUUUUCAAAGAACAUUGACUUGAAUAUACACAGCAGGUUGGAUCUUGCAUAUCACCAGUAUUUUGUAGCAAGUAUGUUUUUGUUAUUAUAUUAAGGUGAUUAUCCUGAUUAUAAACAUAAAUUGUCUUUUAAAUUUUAUAUGUCUUGAAGCGCCAAAACUGGCAUUCUUUGACUUAUGUAAAUAUCGCAAAAGUUAUCAUUUGUAAAUCAAUCAUCGUCAAAUCAUGUCAUUAAUGUCAAAGUUGCGUUUUAGCUUUUUAUGUGUUUUUAUACAUGUAUAUUCUUUAAAUAGUUUUUUAUGCAUGUCGAAUGGUUAUUUUACCUAUUAAACCUUCUUGAAUAAAGCUUUUACAAUGUGUGUAUGAGUAGUUUAUAAUUAAUUCGUGUGCUGUUAACAUGUUUAAAAAAAUGUUAUAAUAAGUUAACACGAAUAAUUUGUAUAUUAUAUAAGAGUUAUCUAUUUUCCUAGUAGGUAUUCCAUGGUUUAAGAUUUGACAAUUCAUACAAAUAUUUUAUCGUUUUAAUUUUACGUUAUAUUUCCGACAAAAAUAUUGUACUAAAGUUUGGUUCAAAAAUACAAUUUUGAUAUAAUAUUUAGGUUUUUAUAGUCCUGCUAAUUUGCAAAGAAACAUCUAAAAUUGUGAUAUUAAUAAAUUGAAUUUAAUAUGUCCAAAAUAUUUUAUGUGUUAUUUUUUUAUAUACAUAUGAUGAAUAAGAAUGUACACUUGUUUAUUUUUUUGGAAGUGUUAUUUUUGCUUCUAAGAUGGUCACAAUUGUUAGUUUUUCCUGAUAUAAUAAUAAAAAA